rnacentral:rRNA from 1 species
UACGAAGGGUGCAAGCGUUACUCGGAAUUACUGGGCGUAAAGCGUGCGCAGGCGGUCCGUUAAGACAGAUGUGAAAUCCCCGGGCUUAACCUGGGAACUGCAUUUGUGACUGGCGGACUCGAGUAUGGCAGAGGGGGGUAGAAUUCCACGUGUAGCAGUGAAAUGCGUAGAGAUGUGGAGGAAUACCGAUGGCGAAGGCAGCAAACUGGUCGUCAACUGACGCUGAGGCGCGAAAGCGUGGGUAGCAAACAGG